rnacentral:lncRNA from 1 species
CUGAAUUAAAAGGGUCAUAGCCACAUUUAUUAAUAGAAAUACCAAUAUUCUGACAUACAAUUCUGAAAUUAAAAUAUCAUUAAACAAAAGUUGAGUCAAAAGGACUCCUUAUAUAUAUGACCAAUGUACUCGAUCAUAUCUAUCUAGAAAACAUGACAACUAGAAAAUAUAAUAUUAAUUAAUCUUCAAUCGAGGGGCACCACUCGUUGUUUGAAUGGAUAUCUUCAUCCGCCAUUACAAUGCCUCCUAAUGCUUCUAUAUAUUACGGUGCACCAUCAGUCCUACAAAAUGUUGAGUAGGUUAUGAAACUCAGUCCAUGUAAAUAAAUUGGCACAACGUAUAGUAACAUAUAAAAUCAAUGUAUGAGCACUUACUUUAUCAUGUUGUCUUUCAUGGGAACUAUGAUUUAGAGAUUUACCAGACACAAGACGCUUAAUUUCUAACACUUCUUGCACCAUAUCAUUGAACUUUCCUUCGAGUACUUGUUUCACUUUCUUAGAAGCUUGAAGUUUAGAAACCAAUUCAACCUUACUUAAUGCGGGUCCUCACAAAUCUCUUGCUCUAAUUCCUCCACCAAAGCCAGCUACGCAAUCACGUCGCUUAGAUGAGUCACAUUUCUACACAACUUCACCAUUCGAAAGAUCGGGAUCCAGUAGUAAGUUAUUUGCAUCAAUUUCUACAUGUCAGUAGGAAUUGUACACUUGCUGCUCAUUAUAGAAGUUAAUGCAAUUAAAUUAAGUCUUGCAUGUUUGUCGGAGGUUGUAGAAUCAGCAAAGGCUGUACCAUUAUUGUGUGUCUAGGAAAAUGGUUUAUCCAUACUCGGUGGCUUGUUUCCUUUCCUCCCUGUUCCAACAUAGGCAAGUGGCUAUUAUUAGUUCUAACAAAAUGGCAAGACAAGUCACACCGAUCUUAUAUAAUAAACAAGAUAAGUUAAAAUUGUGUAUCAUGCCCCAUAUUAUCCGUCUAAAGGGUUUACUGCCAGAUCGAU